rnacentral:tRNA from 1 species
GGGCGGCUAGCUCAGUUGGUUAGAGCGUUACAUUGACAUUGUAAAGGUCACAGGUUCGAAUCCUGUGCCGCCCACCA